CAAUAGCGUAUAUUUAAGUUGUUGCAGUUAAAAAGCUCGUAGUUGGAUUUCGGGUGUGAACGACCGGUCCGUCUUUGAUGUGUACUGGUUGGUUGCGCCUUAUUGUCGAGGACGUGGUUCUGGCUUUCAUUAGCUGGGACACGGAGUCGGCAGCGUUACUUUGAGAAAAUUAGAGUGUUCAAAGCAGGCUAUCGCUCUGAAUACUACAGCAUGGAAUAACACGAUAGGACUCCGAGCCUAUUCUGUUGGUCUUCGGGACCGGAGUAAUGAUUAAGAGGGACAGUUGGGGGCACUCGUAUUCCGAUGUCAGAGGUGAAAUUCUUGGAUUAUCGGAAGACGAACAUCUGCGAAAGCAUUUGCCAAGGAUGUUUUCAUUAA
rnacentral:rRNA from 1 species